rnacentral:tRNA from 1 species
GCGGGAGUGGCGAAAUUGGUAGACGCACCAGAUUUAGGUUCUGGCGCCGCAAGGUGUACGAGUUCAAGUCUCGUCUCCCGCACCAUUU